rnacentral:rRNA from 1 species
UACGGGGGGGAGCAAGCGUUUGUUCGGAUUUACUGGGCGUAAAGGGCGCGUAGGCGGUCAGCACAAGUCAGUUGUGAAAUCUCCGGGCUUAACUCGGAAAGGUCAACUGAUACUGUGCGACUAGAGUGCAGAAGGGGCAACUGGAAUUCUCGGUGUAGCGGUGAAAUGCGUAGAUAUCGAGAGGAACACCUGCGGCGAAGGCGGGUUGCUGGGCUGACACUGACGCUGAUGCGCGAAACC